rnacentral:rRNA from 1 species
UACAGAGGUCUCAAGCGUUGUUCGGAUUCAUUGGGCGUAAAGGGUGCGUAGGUGGCGCGCUAAGUCAGGUGUGAAAUCUCGGGGCUUAACUCCGAAACUGCAUUUGAUACUGGCGUGCUUGAGGACUGGAGAGGAGACUGGAAUUCACGGUGUAGCAGUGAAAUGCGUAGAUAUCGUGAGGAAGACCAGUGGCGAAGGCGGAUCUCUGGACAGCUCCUGACGCU